rnacentral:rRNA from 1 species
UGGGGAAUAUUGCACAAUGGGCGCAAGCCUGAUGCAGCCAUGCCGCGUGUAUGAAGAAGGCCUUCGGGUUGUAAAGUACUUUCAGCGGGGGAGGAAGGCGAUAAGGUUAAUAACCUUGUCGAUUGACGUUACCCGCAGAAGAAGCACCGGCUAACCUCCGUG